UUUUUUUUUUUUUUUUUUACGGCCGCACCCACAGAAUGUGGAGGUUCCCAGGCCCCAGGCUAGGGGUUGAAUUGGAGUUGUAGCCAAUGGCCUGUGCCACAGUCACAGUCACUCCAGAUCCGAGCCAUGUCUGCAAACUGCACCACAGCUCAUGGCAAUGCCAGAUCCCUAACCCACUGAGUGAGGCCAUGGAUCGAACCCGCAACCUCAUGGUUCCUAGUUGGAUUUGUUAGCCACUGAGCCAUGACAGGAAUUCCCCAGCCAUGAUGGGAACUCUCUUAAGUGGUUUGAUGCUUAAUUUAAUAGGUAAUACUUGUAAUUUUUAGGUGUUUUCAGGGCCUAAAAGAGCACUGCUCUAUGUGACGUUGUCCAACAGUAUAUCAACGUGCAUCCACUCCUAUGCCUGUUGUGUGACUUGCUUUAGAUACUGUGUUUUGGAAUUUCAGCCCAGGAAUAAGGGUGGGGAGUAGGCUUCCCUUCCCACCUAGCUUACACAGACAAAUUCAUAGGCUGUAAAAAGGUUUUAUCCACAAAAGGAGGGAUUUAGACUAGUCAGGAUUUUAACUGGACAUUUAACAACAGAGUCCUACAGAGUCUUCCAGUAAAAUUCACGGAAACAAUGAAAUUAAAUGAGAAAAGUUAUCUUUAGUUUCAAAAACCUCUAAGAGAAUUUUAUCAUUCCCUUCCUUCAGUUAUGAAUAAACCGAUAAUCAUAUCAACACUAUCCAUGAAUUUUUCACCAACAGAAACCACAGGUAUUUUUUUGUAUUACAUCAUCGUUAUCAUGGAUACCUCAAGCCAUCAUUUAUUUUCAUCACUAUAGAGAAAUUGUGAUAGUUAUCAGAUCCAUGGCAAGAUCAUUCCAUUAAAUACAUUAAUAAAGAAUCGCAUGUAUCAUUCCAUCAACACUUCUUUUAAAUACCAUAAUACAAUCAUUUUGACGUAAUUUUAAUGCUAGGUAUUUCAUUUUGUAAAAUAAAAAAGAUGAGAGAGAAUGUUUAUAUGAAAUGAAGAUAUAUCCCUACAAAAAAGACUACAUAUAUAUAUAUUUUUUAUUUUAAAAUGUCAGUCAGAGAGGGGAUGUGCAGCAAGUGGGUAUUUGAACUGAGAGCUGAGUAAUAUGAAGAAAUUAGGGAAUAGAUGCCAGGGCAAGAAAAUAGGACAAAGGCCUCACAACAGGAAAAAAUACCAUGAAAGCGAUGGAAGGCAGGGGAAGACAAUGAGCGUGGCAAAGCCAAGAGUUGUAUGUUCGUCUCUGACAAACAUGGGUGCACAAGAAGAGCUGUGGAUAGAUUAAUUUACUCAGGGUUGUGAUUUAGCCAACAGUUUGGCAAAUCAGAAGAGGAUACAUGCCAUUCAUUGCUAAGAGUGACCACUAUGGAAAUUCAGCAACUUAGGAACCAUGAAUAUUGGGGAUGGAGAGAUAAAAGAGAUACAGUGAGAGGAUGGGAGCAUUAAUGAGGUGUAGGUUCUAGUGAGGUCUGGAGAUUGGUGCAGAGGAUAUGUAGGAAGGCUGCUUUAUACUAUUAGGGAGAGAUGACAAUGGCUAUGGUCUUAAUCAGCUUGGGUGCUAUAACGAAUACUAUAGACCAGGUGACUUCAUCAGAAAUUUAUUUCCCACAAUUCUGGACCCUGGAGUCCAAGACCAGGGUGCCAGCAAGGUUGAGUUUUGGUGAGAGCCCUCCUGCUGGUUGCUUUUUCUUUAUGAGACAGAAAAAAAGAUCACAUCCAUCUGUCUCCUAUAAGACCACUAACCCACUCAUGAUGGCUCUACUCUCAUGAUGUAAUCACCUUGCAAAGGCCCCUACCUCUAAAAACUAUCACAUUUGGAUUAGGGCUUCAUCAUAUGAAUCUGGGAGAGUGGAGGGGACGCAAACAUUAAGCCCAAAGUAACCAUGAAGAUGCAGGGACGUAGAUAAUUUAAGAUCCUUUCAUGUUAUUAUUGCCAGGAUACUAGGAAGUAUGCUCCAAUAAGGUAAGGAGUUCUUCCUUUACCACUUUACUCCCAGCUCUUAGAUAGCGCCUGACACAUAGAAAGUGCUUAAUCAAUAUUAACAAAGUAAAUAAACUGAUGCAUGCGUAAGGAAGAUGUAGGAUUGCUACCAGGUUUUAGAGGGAAUUCAAUUUUUAAAUUAGGGAGGAGGGGAUGUGGAAAAGGUUUGUGGUUCUUUCUUAAAUACUGACAAGAAAUCGUACGUCGUAUCAGCAUCAUCUUAUCAAUAACACUCUCACUGAAGCAUUUAUUCCAACACAGAUACCAUGAUAGGCACCAUAAGAAAAGAUUGUAUGAGCUAUAUAAUUCUUUCUUCCCUGGAGGGAAGAGCAUGUAAGGGAGUUAGUAGAUAUUUAGGCAGGCAUGCAAAUAAUAAGAGCAAUUGAUUUCUUCCCAGGAAAACUGAACACUUCAACAAAAUGCAGAAAUCCCUUCAGUAUCUUCAUUGAAACUGCUCUGAAUCUUGAAUUACAUUUCUAGCUAAAUGAUCAAUCAAGUAUGAGCAAAAUAACAUCAGUUUUAUAAUUUGAAGAAUAAAAAAAUCUACAUUUAUAAAAAUUGUUAUUUACAGAAAUACUUUAGCAAAGCCAAAAAUAAUUCAAGCGGUCAAUACAUUUUGGAAAGGUCUCAAAAGUGCAAUUAAAGAAAAUUUUCUGAAUUAUAGAGUUACUGAAACCUAAGAGGUCUGCCUAACAUUGUCUUUUUUAACAACUAUAUUUUUAAGCAAUGAGUCAGCUAAGUGAUUCAUUGAAGAUAAUUAUUUCUUAUUCCAUAAACAAUCAGAAAAUAAAAGAAAAUAGGGAAAAUGAGAAAUUUCAGGAUAGAUAGCUAUGUUAGUAAAGGAUAAUCCAAAUAAGAAGCAAACAAAAUGCACUAUUUUUAUUGACUCUAUUAAAUGUAAGAAAAUAUAAUGCAUUUGGUUUUAAUGAUUAAAGUGUCUCACUUAAGUAACACAGGUAUACCAAGGUAGAUAUCUUUUCUCUUAAAUUCGUUCCAAAUAAUUACGUAGAAUUUUUAUAUACAUUUCUUUAAAUACUGAUAAGAAAUAAUACAUAUUACCACUUAUUAUAAAACCUAUUUAUUUUCAUAUUUAAUAAUUAAUUUAUUCCCAAUUGAGGAAGACAUACCCCACUAAAUUGGAGGUUCUUAGAGGAAAGAAAUUGUUACUGAUGUGUGAAUAUUACCAAGAGCAGUCCCUGACCUAACAAACAAUAGGCAUUCAACAAUUACUCCUUCAUAUAAUCACAGGAUAGAAUGUGUCUCUUAUUCAUUUUGAGAGAAAUUUAAGACAAGGAAGAAGGAGAAACAUAAAGAAAUAAUUUGUUGCAAAUAUUCUCUGGUAAAGCAAUAACUAUAACAAGAGUAUUUUUAGAAAGUUAAACAGGACAUAGCCCCUAUCCUAUGAACUCUCAGCCAAAGUGGAGACCGUAUAUUAAUAGUUGACAAAAGUAAGAUAUGUAAAGUCCUAGGAUGUUGUCAUUAACAAAUAAUAACAGCCAAGUUAAGGAAAGGUUAGUUCACUUGUGAGAGACUGAGUUGGCUAAGGAAGGGAGACACAUGUGACCAACCUUGAAAAUGAGUAAGAAUCUUCAAGGCUAGAAUGUGGCCAACAAAACAGCGUAUCUUAGAGGAACAUCGCAGGGAAAGAGCACAGUGUGUAAGUGGUUUGGUGUAGAAGAAGGGCUGACCAUAACAUCGGGAAGGUAAACUAGGACUAAGCCAGCAGAAAGGAGGAGUUGCAACCUUAUGCCUUUUCCCUCUGUAUAGAUAAACAGUUUUCUUCUAAAAACCUGUGAACUUAUUUUUUUAAAAAUGAUUGUGGGAUAUAUUCCCAAAGAAAGGCAACAUGGCAAAUGAAGUUAAAGCUCACUGAUAUAAGAGUAAGAAUGGAAGAAAAACACUUAGAUGAUAUGAUUAUGAUAAGAGGGGUCAUCUUCCUCAAAACAGUGAUCCUAAAUAAUCCUUCAUGGAGUAACAUUCAUAUAUAAAGAACAGCUCUCUGUCAACAAAACACAAACAAAACACUACGCAUGUAUAACACCUACAAAUUAUUUAAGAAACUUAUUCUUGGGCUUAAUGGUUCUUACACUUAAUUUUAUUAUAUGUGUUUUUCUUAAAACUCUCUAUGAAUAUAGGAUUGCAGUAUAUUCAUGUUUAGUAUCUAUUGUGUCUAACUGCCCUUGUAGUUUCAUGUAAACAAACAAAGGCAAAGGUCAUCACUAUAGCAAAAGAAAUAAAGAAGGAAUAAAGAGAGGGAGAGGAGAAAGAAUAAAUGACACAACAAAAAAGAAAAAAAAAUCAAACUGAUUAAUGUACCAGGAAUUCCUUCACAUUGCUAAACUUAAGCAUUUAUUGGCAGGAAGGCAAAUAUGUAUCUUGCUUGCUUUCAUUUUCCCAAAGCACAAUUUAAUUAAUAUUGUCAUUUAGCUCCUGGUAACAGACUCAUACCAUAACAUUCCUCCCACACCACAAGAUCAAUGGAAGCUACAACAGAAAGAAAUUAGAACGUGCAUCAAAUUUGCAAAGCUCAUAAAGAAAACACAUUUGCCCUUCAUGUAUUUUUAAAGAGAUUCUUGCUUCGUUAUAUUGUGUAAAUGGUUUCUCUGUUCAGUUAAACAGACAAAACUGAACUUCGGUGCUAUCCUAUUUUUCAGAAAUACAGAAUGCCAUUCAGUUUUUAAAAAGAUUUUAGUGGUGAUAGUAUUAUGCAUAGAUGCCCAGUUAUUCUAUAAGGGCUUUGUAAUGUCUGAGAAAGAACUUGGCAUGCGAUCUCAUUCAUGCGUCUCAUUUCCUUCUUUCCUAACUCCUUAGCCCUUAAGAACUAAGCCUUGUUUCUAACAUUAAGAUUAACUUUUUGACCAGCUAUACCUCAUUCUUUGUUUUCAGUAGCAUUUUGGAUUAUAUAACAGGAAAAAUGAAACUGAUAAUUCAGAACGGUAUUUAAGAAUAUGCAUUCAUUUAAAUCAGCUUGUUCUUUAGAUUAUACAACUUUUAGAUGAAAAUGCUAGUUUUGGAACCAUGACUUUUAAGUAAUUAAUUUAACCCCAGCACUAAACACUCAGUACUGCUGGAAUAAGCUAUAUUUUAAAAUACUGUUUCAUAUAAACAAACAAAAACUGCAUCUCUUGCAUUCCAUGUGUAGCUAUUUAUUAUAUCAACGUAUUCCUUUUCCAUAUUAUGCAUUUAAUAUUUGCUUUUCCCACACUGAGUCAUUCCAAAAUGGAAUGAUUUGUUGAAAACAGAAUAGUUAGUUGCAAAAUUCUGUUUUUAAUUAGGUUAUUUUAAUAUCUUAUGUUAUUGACAACAAAUACGUGACAGAAACAGAUUUAACUUAGUCUUUACAUUUUUGAAAUUGUUGAAAAAAUAUUGGGAUCAAUAUUUUUAGAUUUAUUAAAAAAGUUUUUUGAUUAGAAAAACAGUAUGUAAUUUGUGGUAUAUAAAAUUGUUCAGAGUUCCAACAACUAUUCUAGAGAUAUGUCUCUUACAUCUACUGAUGUGAAAUUUCUUGAAUGGGUUGGAUCAUCCACCACUAGCUCAAGGUCCCUCUACACGUGCUUAGUAUUUUGGAGAAGUAACAGCAAUUGUAUUAUAUGUUCAUCUUUUGUUGUUGUUGACCAGUGUCAGCUUUGUUAAACCCUAGUUUCGUUACUCAACGAACAAUUUUAGUGAGCUAUAGGCUUUUUAAUAAUAGAUUUUAUGACUUUGUAUCUACACGCCCUACACAGACUACUAAUUUUAAUUCAGCUAUCAGUAUAAUUGAGAAAAGGAGAGAGGUUUAACAUUCUUACUACCAAUUUAAGAUUAGGUUUCCUUAUUUCCUUCUAUUCUAAGUAUGAUGCGCUACUUCAAGAAAUAUAGUUUCCUAAAACUAUUUAAGUUAUUUUGAAGCAACAUUUUAAGAACUCAAUAUGAGUAACUCAUUAAUAUUUCCAGCAUCUCUACAACAUGGAUGAAAAUAUUGACUUUUUUUCUGCACAGUUCAAAGAAUCACUAUUAAAUAUGGUCAGAAAAUGUAUGUGCCCUUAUUAAGACUAGCUACCAUUAAUCUAAUAUAUGAAAUCAAUAUUUUUGUCAGAGCAAUGAAAUUCAAGUUUUUAUUGUUGAGUGUGAAUAGGAAAAAUUAUAUCAAUAAUGUAGUGAAAAAUUACAUUGAGUCAAGACAUUACACAAUUGCAUUAUUGUAUUACUUCAUUACUGCAUGCAAUUAAAAAUUAAUGCUCAACUAUCCCAUUGCUGCAUUGGUCUCCUUUCUAAGGUUGUAUGACUAUGAUAGAUAAUAGAUAAAAUUCUGAUUUUUUUCUGAGAUAAUAAUAAAUCUUAUGUAGAAAAUAAAUUUUUAUCUAUGUCUUUUUUCACAAUUUUUAUGUACAGAUAUUAUAUAUAAUACAUAAAACAAUUUUACACACAGAAAGUAUUUAUUCUCUGAAAUUAUUUAAUAGUUACAUUUAAGAAAUAUAAGCCAAAAACUUAGCAAAUAAAAAUGCCCACAUUAUAUUUUCCUAUUUUUUCACAAAUCUGUUCAUUUGAUAUACUAACAUUGAACUCAAAAAUGAACCAGUUUUAAGGGUAGUCUAGAAGAACUACAUUAUAGCAUACAGCAUAAUUUAGGUGGAUUAUAUUUGCAGUAUUGGUAGCAUGAACCAGUUUCACUGCAUAUGAGUCCUCUGCUGUUAUUUUCCGUCAGCUUAUUUUUUGUUAAAAGUGGCUUUCAAGCAAGUGUGUGUGUGUGUCCAUACAUGUCAAGGAUUUAGGUUAGGGAUUAGCUAUUCCCAAGUAAUUCAUGUCUAUCAAGAUCUGUUACCAUAACUUAAGCUUUUCAUGACAGAUACAGUUAAGACAGAAGUUGCAUAUAAUACCACAUAUAAAGACAUUUAUAAUGGAUUCAUGUCUGGUC
rnacentral:lncRNA from 1 species